UGGGGAAUAUUGCGCAAUGGCCGCAAGGCUGACGCAGCGACGCCGCGUGUGGGAUGAUGGCCUUCGGGUUGUAAACCACUGUCGGGAGGGACGAAUACUUGGCUUGCCAAGGGUGACGGUACCUCCAAAGGAAGCACCGGCUAACUCCGUGCCAGCAGCCGCGGUAAUACGGAGGGUGCGAGCGUUGUCCGGAAUCACUGGGCGUAAAGGGCGCGUAGGCGGCUCGUUAAGUGGCUGGUGAAAUCCCGGGGCUCAACUCCGGGGCUGCCGGUCAGACUGGCGGGCUCGAGCACGGUAGAGGCGGAUGGAAUUCCCGGUGUAGCGGUGGAAUGCGUAGAUAUCGGGAAGAAUACCGGUGGCGAAGGCGUUCCGCUGGGCCGUUGCUGACGCUGAGGCGCGACAGCGUGGGGAGCAAACAGG
rnacentral:rRNA from 1 species